rnacentral:rRNA from 1 species
CCUACGGGAGGCUGCAGUGAGGAAUUUUGCGCAAUGGGGGAAACCCUGACGCAGCGACGCCGCGUGGAGGAAGACGGCCUUCGGGUUGUAAACUCCUGUCAGAGGUGAAGAAUGCCCGCAAGGGCUUGACGGUAACCUCAGAGGAAGCCCCGGCUAACUACGUGCCAGCAGCCGCGGUAAUACGUAGGGGGCGAGCGUUGCUCGGAAUUACUGGGCGUAAAGGGUGUGUAGGCGGCUGGUUAAGUCAUGGAUGAAAUCCCGAGGCUCAACUUCGGAAUGGUCCAUGAUACUGAUCAGCUUGAGGCUAGUUGAGGAGAGCGGAAUUCCCGGUGGAGCGGUGAAAUGCGUAGAUAUCGGGAGGAACACCAGAGGCGUAGGCGGCUCUCUAACCUAGUCCUGACGCUGAGACACGAAAGCUAGGGGAGCAAACGGGAUUAGAUACCCCUGUAGUC